GACGAACGCUGGCGGCGUGCUUAACACAUGCAAGUCGAACGGAAAGGCCCUGCUUUUGUGUGGUGCUCGAGUGGCGAACGGGUGAGUAACACGUGAGUAACCUGCCCUUGACUUUGGGAUAACUUCAGGAAACUGGGGCUAAUACCGGAUAGGAGCUGCUGCUGCAUGGUGGGGGUUGGAAAGUUUCGGCGGUUGGGGAUGGACUUGCGGCUUAUCAGCUUGUUGGUGGGGUAGUGGCUUACCAAGGCUUUGAAGGGUAGCCGGCCUGAGAGGGUGAACAGCGACAUUGGGACUGAGAUACGGACCAGUCGCCUACGGGAGGCAGCAGUGGAGAAUAUUGCACAAUGGGCGGAAGCCUGAUGCAGCAACGCCGCGUGCGGGAUGACGGCCUUCGGGUUGUAAACCGCUUUCGCCUGUGACGAAGCGUGAGUGACGGUAAUGGGAAAAGAAGCACCGGCUAACUACGUG
rnacentral:rRNA from 1 species